UGCGACUUAGCGGCGGACGGGUGAGUAACGCGUGGGUAACCUGCCCUGUACAGGGGGAUAACACUUAGAAAUAGGUGCUAAAACCGCAUAAGCGCACAGUACCGCAUGGUACAGUGUGAAAAACUCCGGUGGUACAGGAUGGACCCGCGUCUGAUUAGCUGGUUGGAGGGGUAACGGCCCACCAAGGCGACGAUCAGUAGCCGGCCUGAGAGGGUGAACGGCCACAUUGGGACUGAGACACGGCCCAAACUCCUACGGAAGGCAGCAG
rnacentral:rRNA from 1 species